rnacentral:rRNA from 1 species
UGGGGAAUAUUGCACAAUGGAGGAAACCCUGAUGCAGCGACGCCGCGUGGAGGAAGAAGGUUUUCGGAUUGUAAACUCCUGUCGUUAGGGACGAUAAUGACGGUACCUAACAAGAAAGCACCGGCUAACUACGUGCCAGCAGCCGCGGUAAAACGUAGGGUGCAAGCGUUGUCCGGAAUUACUGGGUGUAAAGGGAGCGCAGGCGGGAGAACAAGUUGGAAGUGAAAUCCAUGGGCUCAACCCAUGAACUGCUUUCAAAACUGUUUUUCUUGAGUAGUGCAGAGGUAGGCGGAAUUCCCGGUGUAGCGGUGGAAUGCGUAGAUAUCGGGAGGAACACCAGUGGCGAAGGCGGCCUACUGGGCACCAACUGACGCUGAGGCUCGAAAGUGUGGGUAGCAAACAGGAUUAGAUACCCUGGUAGUCCACACCGUAAACGAUGAUUACUAGGUGUUGGAGGAUUGACCCCUUCAGUGCCGCAGUUAACACAAUAAGUAAUCCACCUGGGGAGUACGACCGCAAGGUUGAAACUCAAAGGAAUUGACGGGGGCCCGCACAAGCAGUGGAGUAUGUGGUUUAAUUCGACGCAACGCGAAGAACCUUACCAAGUCUUGACAUCCCUUGACGAACAUAGAAAUAUGUUUUCUCUUCGGAGCAAGGAGACAGGUGGUGCAUGGUUGUCGUCAGCUCGUGUCGUGAGAUGUUGGGUUAAGUCCCGCAACGAGCGCAACCCUUAUGGUCAGUUACUACGCAAGAGGACUCUGGCCAGACUGCCGUUGACAAAACGGAGGAAGGUGGGGAUGACGUCAAAUCAUCAUGCCCUUUAUGACUUGGGCUACACACGUACUACAAUGGCGUUAAACAAAGAGAAGCAAGACCGCGAGGUGGAGCAAAACUCAGAAACAACGUCCCAGUUCGGACUGCAGGCUGCAACUCGCCUGCACGAAGUCGGAAUUGCUAGUAAUCGUGGAUCAGCAUGCCACGGUGAAUACGUUCCC